GACGAACGCUGGCGGCGUGCCUAAUACAUGCAAGUUGAGCGCUGAAGGUUGGUACUUGUACCAACUGGAUGAGCAGCGAACGGGUGAGUAACGCGUGGGGAAUCUGCCUUUGAGCGGGGGACAACAUUUGGAAACGAAUGCUAAUCCCGCAUAAAAACUUUAAACACAGUUUUUAAGUUUAAAAGUUGCAAUUGCAUCAUUCACAGAUGAUCCCGCGUUGUAUUAGCUAGUUGGUGAGGUAAAGGCUCACCAAGGCGAGGAGACAUAGCCGACCUGAGAGGGUGAUCGGCCACAUUGGGACUGAGACACGGCCCAAACGCCUACGGGAGGCAGCAGUAGGGAAUCUUCAGCAAUGGACGAAAGUCUGACCGAGCAACGCCGCGUGAGUGAAGAAGGUUUUCGGAUCGUAAAACUCUGUUGGUAGAGAAGAACGUUGGUGAGAGUGGAAAGCUCAUCAAGUGACGGUAACUACCCAGAAAGGGACGGCUAACUACGUG
rnacentral:rRNA from 1 species